GACGAACGCUGGCGGCGUGCCUAACACAUGUAAGUCGCGCGGGACCGGGGGCAACUCCGGUUCAGUGGCAGACGGGUGCGUAACACGUGAAGAACCUGUCCAAUGGUGGGGGAUAGCCGGCCCAACGGCCGGGUAAUACCGCAUACGAUCGUUCGGGGGCAUCCCUGGGCGAUGGAAGCAGCCGCAAGGUUGCGCCGAUGGAGGGCUUCGCGGCCUAUCAGCUAGUUGGCGGGGUAACGGCCCACCAAGGCGACGACGGGUAGCUGGUCUGAGAGGAUGGCCAGCCACAUUGGGACUGAGACACGGCCCAGACUCCUACGGGAGGCAGCAGUGGGGAAUCUUGCGCAAUGGCCGCAAGGCUGACGCAGCGACGCCGCGUGUGGGAUGACGGCCUUCGGGUUGUAAACCACUGUCGGGAGGAACGAAUACUCGGCUUCGAUAAGGAGACCGAGGGUGACGGUACCUCCAAAGGAAGCACCGGCUAACUCCGUGC
rnacentral:rRNA from 1 species